rnacentral:rRNA from 1 species
CCCUUAGAUGUCCGGGGCUGCACGCGCGCUACACUGUAGAAAGCAGCGUGCUUUAAAACCUUUCCUGAAAAGGAUGGGUAACCCCAGCAAAAUUCUACGUGCUUGGGAUAGAGAUUUGCAAUUUUCUCUCUUGAACGAGGAACUCCCAGUAAGUGCGAGUCAUCAGCUCGCGUUGAUUACGUCCCUGCCCUUUGUACACACCGCCCGUCGCUACUACCGAUUGGGAAAAUUUUAGAGAGUCCUGGACUGAUGAUUGUUCGGCUUCACGGCCUUACUUUCGUCGGGAAAGAAUUCGAUAAUAUUUUUCUAGAGGAAGUAAAAGUCGUAACA